rnacentral:snRNA from 1 species
GUGCUCGCUUCGAUGGCACAUAUCCUAACACUGGAAUGACACAGAGAUCAGCACAGCUCCUGUGCAAGGAGGACACGCAAAUCUGCGAAGGCAACACGGGUGAU